rnacentral:rRNA from 1 species
AGGAUGAACGCUGGCGGUAUGCUUAACACAUGCAAGUCGAACGGAACCUUCGGGUUUAGUGGCGGACGGGUGAGUAACGCGUGAGAAUCUGCCUCUAGGUCGGGGACAACAACUGGAAACGGUUGCUAAUACCCGAUGUGCAGCAAUGUGAAAGAUUUAUUGCCUAGAGAUGAGCUCGCGUCUGAUUAGCUAGUAGGUGUGGUAAUGGCGCACCUAGGCGACGAUCAGUAACUGGUCUGAGAGGAUGACCAGUCACACUGGGACUGAGACACGGCCCAGACUCCUACGGGAGGCAGCAGUGGGGAAUUUUCCGCAAUGGGCGAAAGCCUGACGGAGCAAUACCGCGUGAGGGACGAAGGCUUUUGGGUCGUAAACCUCUUUUCCCUGAGAGAGAUCUGACGGUAUCAGGGGAAUCAGCAUCGGCUAACUUCGUGCCAGCAGCCGC